CCGAGAAAUGUUUUUUCGUCGACGACUUUCGCGACGUCGAAAACACGUAUAAAUUCACUAUAUUCAAGAACGAAACAACCGGUAGGAUUAUAAAAUUCGAUAGCGACUUUCGAAAUAAAUCUUGGGAUAUAUUUUCCACCGGAAACGUAAAGAACGAUAUUAAAACAAUUGUAACGACGAAAAAAGCUACUUCGUUAUAUGUGGUAUGGAUACCAAAUUACAAAAAGUCAUUUCUUAACAGAAGUUCUGUUGAAUCGACUGGUAUUUUCGACAAGGAACAACUAAGUAGUCGUCACGAUGAGAAUUCGGUUUGGGCAUCUGCAUUAAAAGAACCUAAGAGCUCCGCUGUCUCUGCUCUGCUUAAGUCAGAAUGGCCGACAGGUGGUUGUUCGAUGUCACAAGAAGAAAAGGUGCCAAGUCUUCUUUCUCUAGUCCAACCGUUGACAUCCUUCAACCUUUCCUGUAUCCAAAAUCCAUCUAAAAUUUCGCAAGACCUACCUCCUACCAUUAUCACUAGCCUUAUUCUUCCCAUCACGGUUCGUAGCGAUAAGAUAAAAGAUGGAAUUUUUCGGCUCGGUACACCCACCAGAGUGCUACAAAGUCACCAACGAAUUCAUCAAAGUUUACCGAGUUUAUGUUGCCACGAACAGAUGAAAAGAAACCAGUGAUGCAUAUUAAAGAGAAAC
rnacentral:lncRNA from 1 species